UGCUAGACAAGCUCGCCUGUUCCAGGACUGGCAGGAGGUUGCUGAAUCAUCCUGAGGCUGAAGAAAUCAGAGGGUAACUCAUGAUAAAAAUUCUGGAUGCUGGAUACAAUGAGAAGUGGCUUGAUUUUCCCCUCAAUGUGGAUAGAAUUCACAAAACUUGUUCCUGGAAUGGCUUCUUGGAAUAGCUAUGAACUGCUGAUUGAAUGACUGCUACUUGAUGAUGACAGAUGAAAGAAGAGCCCAGGCUAACAGGUCCUUCAGCAGAAUUGAUAGAGAGGCCCUUCUCCCCAACAUCAUAUUUCUGUAACGGCCAGACAGAAUGGCUGCUUCCUGGCAGCAGUCAUUUAGAUCCUUUCUUUUUGGACACAACCAAAAGAAAGAUGCAAAGAAAAGAAUCUUCUUUAUACUAGGUCAGAUUAUUUUUUUCAUGUAGCCCAGCCAGUCUAGGUGAGGCCUAUCAACAUGGCCCCUCCUUCUU